rnacentral:lncRNA from 1 species
AGAAGCAGCGUUUUUAAGUAUGAGAACGACUCAAUCAAAGAAUUUGGAAGGUUGCCUGAAUCAAGAAGAGCAGCUGUAGACACCAGCAGCUGGAUUUCACUACCAUCCUGAUGCACAGCACCCUCUCAGACUGACGGGUUUUCUCUGGCAGCAAACUGGCAGAGAGAAAGAGAGCUCACAC